UACGGGGGGAGCAAGCGUUGUUCGGAUUUACUGGGCGUAAAGGGCGCGUAGGCGGCGCAACAAGUCACUUGUGAAAUCUCCGGGCUUAACCCGGAGCGGCCAAGUGAUACUGUCGUGCUAGAGUGCGGAAGGGGCUACUGGAAUUCUCGGUGUAGCGGUGAAAUGCGUAGAUAUCGAGAGGAACACCUGCGGCGAAGGCGGGUAGCUGGGCCGACACUGACGCUGAGGCGCGAAAGCCAGGGGAGCGAACGGG
rnacentral:rRNA from 1 species